rnacentral:lncRNA from 1 species
CUCUAACAAUAAAUAUGAAAACUAAAUAGUUUUAUUUUUUUAAAAAAAUGAAAUUACAGAAAAUUCUUCAGUCAAAAUCCGAUUUUUCACUUUUCCUCCUGUCAUUUAAAAACCUACACCCUGCCAUUAGUGAUCGUUAGGAUUUCGUUUAUAAAAUAUUAUUAGUGUAGUAACCCACGCGCUGCGGCGGAUAAAUAAUAGAAGAACAAACAAAAAAUAUGGAAAAAGAAGAAGAAAGGAGUUUGGAAAAUAAAAAUUCAAGUUUGUUUUAUUUUUUUAGGUAGGGAAAUGCAUGAAUUGAACUAACCAAUAUAACCAUUGAAAUUUAUAACUGUCCAGAAUCACCAUUUAAAGAAAAAACCUACAAAGGUCAUAUGAAGAUGGAGAUGAUAAUGUUGCGAUCAUGACGACGAUGGCGAUGAAAAUAUCAUAGAAGUUUGCAUGAUUUUGCACCCUUUUGGGCAUGAAAUGGUCAUAAUUUGUGAGCCAGAACUGCCACUUCAAUUAUGAAAUCAAAACUAACCUCUAAAUUAAUCAAAAUAAUGCACAUAAAUUAAAUAUUUGAUUGAUACAAUCACCAUACAAAAAAUAAUGCACAUAAAUCAAAUACUUGAUUGAUAUAAUCACCAUAUAAAAAAUAAUGCAAAUAAAUUAAAUUC